GAUGAACGCUGGCGGCGUGCCUAAUACAUGCAAGUCGAACGCGCAGCGAAAGGUGCUUGCACCUUUCAAGCGAGUGGCGAACGGGUGAGUAACACGUGGAUAACCUGCCUCAAGGCUGGGGAUAACAUUUGGAAACAGAUGCUAAUACCGAAUAAAACUUAGUAUCGCAUGAUACGAAGUUGAAAGGCGCUACGGCGUCACCUAGAGAUGGGUCCGCGGUGCAUUAGUUAGUUGGUGGGUAAAGGCUACCAAGACAAUGAUGCAUAGCCGAGUUGAGAGACUGAUCGGCCACAUUGGGACUGAGACACGGCCCAAACUCCUACGGGAGGCUGCAGUAGGGAAUCUUCCACAAAUGGGCGAAAGCCUGAUGGAGCAACGCCGACGUGUGUGAUGAAGGCUUUAGGGUCGUAAAG
rnacentral:rRNA from 1 species